GGGGAGUACGGUCGCAAGACCGAAACUCAAAGGAAUUGACGGGGGCCUGCACAAGCGGUGGGGCAUGUGGUUUAAUUCGAUACAAUGCGCAAAACCUUACCAGCCCUUGACAUAUGAACAACAAAACCUGUCCUUAACAGGAUGGUACUGACUUUCAUAUAGGUGUUGCAUGGCUGUCGUCAGCUCGUGUCCUGAGAUGUUUGGUCAAGUCCUAUAACGAGCGAAACCCUCGUUUUGUGUUGCUGAGACAUGCGCCUAAGGAGAAAUUGCCACCGAGUGGCGUGCCAGCGCUACUACUUGAUUGAGUGCCAGCACAUAGCUGUGCUUUCAGCAAGAAUUUCACCAUUGGGAGCCGGUGCCUUUCGAAGCACUUUCACGUGUGAACCGAAGUCAUCAUUCCCAAGACCCACGGAGACCUACCUAUAGUGACGUCAAAGUACCAGUGAGCAUGGAGGUUUGGUUGAAAUUGGUUACGACGAUGUCGAGUUGGUGGAGGAGGAAGACUCGGCAUGAAGGCCAGAAAAUGGUGUGGAACGUAGUGGUAAUAGUACGCGCCCCGCUCCGAAACAAAGAAAAAGGUGCGUGCCGCGCUCACGAGGGACUGCCAGUGAGAUAAUGGAGGAAGGUGGGGAUGACGUCAAUUCCGCAUGGCCCUUAUGGGCUGGGCCACACACGUGCUACAAUGGCAAUGACAAUGGGAAGCAAGGCUGUAAGGCGGAGCGAAUUCGGAAAGAUUGCCUCAGUUCGGAUUGUUCUCUGCAACUCAGGAACAUGAAGUUGAAAUCGCUAGUAAUCGCGGAUCAGCAUGCCGCGGUGAAUAUGUACCCGGGCCCUGUACACACCGCCCAUCACACUUUGGGAUUUGGUUUCGCCCGAAGCAUCAGACCAAUGAUCACCCAUGACUUCUGUGUACCACUAGUGCCACAAAGGCCUUUGGUGGUCUUAUUGGCGCAUACCACGGUGGGGUCUUCGACUGGGGUGAAGUCAUAACAAGGUAGCCGUAGGGGAACCUGUGGCUG
rnacentral:rRNA from 1 species